GUCGAACGCUGGCGGCAUGCCUUACACAUGCAAGUCGAACGGCAGCACGGGUGCUUGCACCUGGUGGCGAGUGGCGAACGGGUGAGUAAUACAUCGGAACGUACCUUAUCGUGGGGGGUAACGCAGCGAAAGCUGUGCUAAUACCGCAUACGCCCUGAGGGGGAAAGCGGGGGAUCGCAAGACCUCGCGCGAUUAGAGCGGCCGAUGCCUGAUUAGCUAGUUGGUGGGGUAAAAGCCCACCAAGGCGACGAUCAGUAGCUGGGCUGAGAGGACGAUCAGCCACACUGGGACUGAGACACGGCCCAGACUCCUACGGGAGGCAGCAGUGGGGAAUUUUGGACAAUGGGGGCAACCCUGAUCCAGCAAUGCCGCGUGAGUUAAGAAGGCCUUCGGGUUGUAAAGCUCUUUUGUCAGGGAAGAAACACCGGCUCUAACACAGUCCGGGAAUGACGGUACCUGAAGAAUAAGCACCGGCUAACUACGUGCCAGCAGCCGCCGUAA
rnacentral:rRNA from 1 species